rnacentral:rRNA from 1 species
UGGGGAAUUGUUCGCAAUGGGCGCAAGCCUGACGACGCAACGCCGCGUGGAGGAUGAAGACCUUCGGGUUGUAAAGCUCUUUCGGCGGGGACGAAACGGUUCGUGACAACACCACGGACUAAUGACGGUACCCGCAUAAGAAGCCCCGGCCAACUACGUGCCAGCAGCCGCGGUAAGACGUAGGGGGCGAGCGUUGUCCGGAUUUAUUGGGCGUAAAGGGCGCGUAGGCGGCAUGACAAGUCACUUGUGAAAUCUCUGGGCUUAACCCAGAACGGCCAAGUGAUACUGUCGCGCUAGAGUGCAGAAGGGGCAAUCGGAAUUCUUGGUGUAGCGGUGAAAUGCGUAGAUAUCAAGAGGAACACCUGAGGUGAAGACGGGUUGCUGGGCUGACACUGACGCUGAGGCGCGAAAGCCAGGGGAGCAAACGGGAUUAGAUACCCGAGUAGUCCCUGAGCGGGCUGGCAAGGCGCAU